UGGGCAGUUAGCCCACAAAAGUGGAUUGUUUUUGAAAAGGACAAAAGUCAGAUUUGCAAGGUUUAUCAAUAUACAGACCGUGCUGGUUUCAUAUGUGACAAGGAGGCAAGCAAACAGUGGAGAACGGCAGUAGAUACGAUAUAGAUAAGCAAGAAAGAAAAAUUAAGGACAAAAAGACAGACCAGUUUCUAAAAAUUCAGGUACCACAAUGAAGUCUCUGCCACCCUUAUUUACACCCUCAUCUCCAACAACACUUCAUCUCCUGCUCAAGCCUUCAUCCUAAAAGCAACAUUAAGUGCUUUCCUGGAACAGACUAGUGAACUACAUGCUCAGAUGAUCUCUAUAAUUUCUUAUUUUUGAAGCCAUAUGACUGCAAUAACAUCAUGCUAGCAACAAAUUAUGUUAUAAAUUGUACAUAACUGUAUAGAAAUAAACCUGCAAGGUAUCUCA
rnacentral:lncRNA from 1 species